CCCAGCAGAUUACCCAGCAGCCCCUGCGUCAUAGGCGGGGCCAGCGGCCCCGCCACGUGACCCUACUUGAAAAGGAACCGCCGGAGAGCCCAAAUCCGCCCCCCUCGUCUCGAAAAGAAGCGCUGAUCGCUCUGGACGUGUCACGUGAUAAAAGCUCCAACCGCGUCAAGUGAGCCGCUGCUCGCCAGCGCCCUCUGGAGAGUUGAUGAGAUGCUAACAGCGGCUUUUGCUUUUUCUUUCUUUCGUUUUUUUUUUAGAACCGCUGUGGCUGUAUUAGGUGUGUAAUUCCUUCUACUGCACGGAAUGAACCAAGUUCCACAGAAACGAGGCUACAAAGCAAAGCUUCAGAAUCAAGAUGCACUUCAAAUAAAAAGAUCAAUAUGCUCAACCGUUCAUUAACAGUGUAAUUAAACAAGAAGCAGGUUCAAAGCGUUUUGAAUACAUAUUCCAGAAAAAGCACACAGUACUGACACCACACAGUCCAGGUAUCCCAAGAUUAUCACACUUCAGAAUACAGAUAAGUAUUGUGUAAAUGGAUAUCAACAAAAUAUUUGUACACAGCAAAAAUGCUAGGCUAGAAUCCUUUUCUGUGACUUGUUGGCUUUGGAUGGGCACUGAAUAUUUAUGAGGGAGCAAUCAAUAUGCAAUUCCUACCUACAAAUUCAAGUGGCAGAUUCAUAAGAUGACUGUAUGCUUUUAAGACAUAUAUUGACCCCAGGUCAGAAAUGUAACUGUAGUCUAAAUCAUCUUUAUUUUGUCACUCCUAUCAAAUAAAAGAUUAGUUCAACAUACCAAUGUAUAUAAUUGCUUUCAUCUAGUUCAGCCCCAUCUAAGUUAAUUUUUAAAGGUUUAGUUAAUAUACUACCUAUAGCUAUAUUUUUUUCUAUCUGAUCUCUGUCCUAAUUUGUUCCACACUAAACCCCUCUUUUACAUUGUACUUCCAAAAAAAAGUCUGCUUAUAAUAUGAACAUAGGUACAAGCACUAAGUUGAGUUCGUCUAGACGAGACCAUGCCCAGCAUUCCAUUUCCCACAGUCGUCAGUAGUUCUCUCAGAACACCUACAAGCAGAUCAUGAAAGCAAUAGCCCUCCCCUGCUGCUGAGGUAUAUCAUCACUGAACCUGGAGAUCAAGCAGUCAUGGCUAAUUAUAACAAGUCCAUUGUAAUGAGUCCCUCUGUUCUCCAAUAGAGUCUCAAAGCUAUUUUUGCGCUCUCAUCCUAUCCCUUGAAUUCAGCUUUGGAUAGUCUCAGACAGUGAUCAUCUUUGCCAUGUCCCUCAAUGUUCU